CCUUGGCCCUGUUCUCGCGGCGGUUAUUUUAUCUGUGCUGGGCCUAGGCCACCGGAUGAGAGGCUCCGCAGCACUAUGCCAUACCCGAGGUGACGGGAGAGAAAACGUUGUCCCCGCUGCACAGAUGCAGGUCUGAGGGUUGGCACUGUCGCCGCCCGGUGUCACCCGUCGCUGGGAACGACGGAGCCCGGAUUCCCGCCCUGUCGCCCGCUGCUCCUGGCCUCACUCCGCCUGCAGGCUCCGAUGGCGGCGGCUGCGCUGUUGGACCUGGCGCAGGGAUCGAUGACCUUUCAGGAUGUGGCCUGACCUUCACUCAGAGGUCCUGACCCAGAGGACGGAACCCAAAGGAUCCUGUACCAGGAGGUGAUGCCGCAGACCUAAACAAGCUGCUGUCGCUGGAGUGUCAUAGACCUGCAGUCACAAUGUUUGCUGGAGGGCCAGCCAAGUGGCUCGUUGGUUAAGAGCUGGCUUGGGACGCCAGGUGUGAGCAGC